UACGUAGGGGGCAAGCGUUGUCCGGAAUCACUGGGCGUAAAGCGCGUGUAGGCGGAUCGCUAAGUCUGUGGUGAAAGCGCCUGGCUUAACCGGGGGAGGUCCAUGGAAACUAGCGGGCUGGAGGCCGGUAGAGGGGGGUGGAAUUCCGGGUGUAGUGGUGAAAUGCGUAGAGAUCCGGAGGAACACCAGUGGCGAAGGCGGCCCCCUGGGCCGCGCCUGACGCUGAGACGCGAAAGCGCGGGGAGCGAACGGG
rnacentral:rRNA from 1 species